GAUGAACGCUGGCGGCGUGCCUAAUACAUGCAAGUCGAGCGAACGGACGAGAAGCUUGCUUCUCUGAUGUUAGCGGCGGACGGGUGAGUAACACGUGGAUAACCUACCUAUAAGACUGGGAUAACUUCGGGAAACCGGAGCUAAUACCGGAUAAUAUUUUGAACCGCAUGGUUCAAAAGUGAAAGACGGUCUUGCUGUCACUUAUAGAUGGAUCCGCGCUGCAUUAGCUAGUUGGUAAGGUAACGGCUUACCAAGGCAACGAUGCAUAGCCGACCCGAGAGGGUGAUCGGCCACACUGGAACUGAGACACGGUCCAGACUCCUACGGGAGGCAGCGGUAGGGAAUCUUCCGCAAUGGGCGAAAGCCUGACGGAGCAACGCCGCGUGAGUGAUGAAGGUCUUCGGAUCGUAAAACUCUGUUAUUAGGGAAGAACAUAUGUGUAAGUAACUGUGCACAUCUUGACGGUACCUAAUCAGAAAGCCACGGCUAACUACGUG
rnacentral:rRNA from 1 species